UUAUUUUAUAUCGUUAAUAACACAUAUAUAAAAGUUUUAUUUAUAAAUUAUUUUUUGUUAUGUAUACUGAUAGGUUUUUAGCUGAAUUCAUAUUAAAGUAACCACAUGUGAGUUAUACACGUGUAACAACUAGCAACACUACUUGCAAAGAGAAAAAGGAAAAAAAAUGGAGCAGCUAGGAGAGGACAAAUGGCAUCCAAGAACCACAUCACCCUGAUUUCCCAAAUCUAUAGACUAUAUACC
rnacentral:lncRNA from 1 species